rnacentral:snRNA from 1 species
GGGCUCGCCUCGGCAGCGCAGGUACUAAAAUUGGAAGGCUACAGAGAAGAUUAGUGUGGCCCCUGCACAGGAAUGACAUGCACAAAUCGUGAAGCAUUAAAAAAAAAA